AGUGAACGCUGGCGGUAGGCCUAACACAUGCAAGUCGAACGGCGGCACAGUAAGAGCUUGCUCUUACGGGUGGCGAGUGGCGGACGGGUGAGGAAUACAUCGGAAUCUACUUUUUCGUGGGGGAUAACGUAGGGAAACUUACGCUAAUACCGCAUACGACCUACGGGUGAAAGCAGGGGAUCUUCGGACCUUGCGCGAUUGAAUGAGCCGAUGUCGGAUUAGCUAGUUGGCGGGGUAAAGGCCCACCAAGGCGACGAUCCGUAGCUGGUCUGAGAGGAUGAUCAGCCACACUGGAACUGAGACACGGUCCAGACUCCUACGGGAGGCAGCAGUGGGGAAUAUUGGACAAUGGGCGCAAGCCUGAUCCAGCCAUACCGCGUGGGUGAAGAAGGCCUUCGGGUUGUAAAGCCCUUUUGUUGGGAAAGAAAAGCAGCAGGUUAAUACCCCGCUGUUCUGACGGUACCCAAAGAAUGAGCACCGGCUAACUUCGUG
rnacentral:rRNA from 1 species